CAGAAGUGACUACUGGCAGCCAAACAGCAAUGCACAACAUUAACAACUACUGGGACUGUCAUAUACGUAACAUUAUAUUGAGAACACUAUUGUAAUAAAACAUUGUGAAUUCAAUGUGUUUAGUUGUUGUUUCAGCGCGUUGUUGUGGGAAGAGCAAGUUAAACAUUCUUAUUAGCAUGUAACUUAGUUCAAGCUUCACUUGUGCAUUUGCGUCAUUUUGUGCAGAUAUAAGUCAUAAUAUUAAAUUUAUGUAGUAUAAAUAUCUGAUUAAUCUCAUAUAGGAUGUGUUUCGUUAAGGUAAAGCUAAAAACUUAAGAUAAACACUGAAGCUGAAGAGAAUGAACACCCAUAAACUGAAGCGCUUUGCAAGAAGGUUAAUUAACGGGACGCAUCCUAUAUAAGAUCAUUCAGAUAUUACAACUUUUAUUUGCACAAAAUCAUGCACAGAUGAACUUGUUGUGGAUGCCCAGAUAGCAACAGACUCCGGGGCGGAUCCGCCUUCAAGUCGCCAGCUCCGCUGUACGCUCAGAUUCAAUUCGGCAACGCGCACAGGAUAUGCCCCGCCUCCGCACAGCGCACUGUCAACUCGCGGACUCGUUACAGAUGCUGGGCGGAUUCACUGACCGGACGCGCCUUUUUUCAACUGUCGUCGUCACUGAAUCCUUCUCCUCACCGUGGAAAAGCUGGAGCCGGCAGGUCGGUGAAGACUAAACACGCUUACAGCUCAUUCAAGUGCCGCCAGUGUGUUUUUGGAGUAUUUCUUCUUUCUAUUUCAUCUUUCAUCUGAGGAAAAUCAUUAUUUCAUAUCAUAGAGAGGAAAUGUCAUUGCUCCCUAUGUAGGCCUCACCGAGCCAUGAGAUUCAAUCAAAAUAUCUUAAUUUGUGUUCUGAAGAUGAACGAAGGCAUCACGGGUGUAGAACGACAUGAGGGUAAGUAAUAAAUGACAUUAUUUUCAUUUUUGGGUGAACUAACCCUUCAACUAUAAGAAAUUGACAAGAUUUUUGUUACAUUUUCUAUUUUAUCCCGUGCAACUGUUGGGCGCCAUGACACAAAAUGUGUCACAAGGAACAUCCUUUCCCGCAUUCAACCACAUGGAGUCCAAGAAGUUCCUCCUGUGUGCUGUGAGAAAGAACCAUGUAUCACGUACCGCCACUGAUGAAGACAUUACAAAACACAAUACGAUGGUUCAGCCUGGCAGCUGAUAGGGGAAGCUCCAGGAACCGUCCCACUGUGAGCACCCAACAGUAGAGUUUCAGAGUAUCAUUGGCUACGUUUACAUGCACCGAUUUUCGUCAAUCUGAAUUAAUUGAAUCUGAUUGCAGAUCUGUUUACAUGUACUAUAAACAUUGUAAUCUGAUUCAAAUAUCCAUUUAUAUUUGUUUUAUAUACAUUCCGAUUAAAACUUUGAUGUCAUAUCAAUCACACUUGCGGUAACCCAGGUUGCGUCAACAGAGUCAGAGAUAUUGUCAAAUGCAGCAAAUCUUGGCAAUAUUAAGAGGAUUUGGUAUUUCCAAUUAAUGUAGGCCUGUUACAUACUUCUAGUCUAUUAUUAUUACUAUUAGGUUAGGCUUCUUUCUUUUAUUAUUAAAUUAAUAUUAUAAUAAAUUUGCCCCACAAUUUCAUAGCGCAUCGCCGCAUAACUGGCGUGCUCUGAGAAUAAUAUAACUUAUAAGAUUAGGCUAUUAGCUAUCUUUGAAAAUGAUUUAAACUUUUUUUAGGUCUGAUACAAUGAAUUAUAGGCCUAUAAUUAAAGUUAUUAAGAAUGUCAAUGAAAAUUAAGCGCAGCUUUACUUCAAGCACUGACUUUAAAAAACAAACCACCUGUUUAACACAAAAUACUAUUAUUCUCAUUUGUUUCACUAGCUUAUAUGUACGGCCACAAGUGAAAUAAUGGAAUAAAUUUAGACAGUUACAUAGGCUACCGUUAUCAGCAUUUUAUGUUGAAAUUUGUCUCUGAGAAUAUGCUUUGUUAAAGCAGCCUCAGACAGCUCAGUCACUUUUUACUUUUUGUGGUGAAUACUGACCGAGUUUGAGACUUUUUCAUCAGCAUAACUCUUGCGCAAAGUUUGGACGUUGCUUCUUGUGUGAUAUCCACUGGCUCCCCGUCUUGUCUUAAAACGGAAGAAUAUUGUGACGAAGUGAUACAUACGCCACUGCCUGUUGACAUACAUCUUUACAACUAAAGACGUGAACGUUAACUUUAAAUGCGUGUCAGCAUUGCACUGUUGUGCCCCAGAGGCUUCUGAAUACUAUUGAGAAAGUAGUCGGAUUCAAUGUUUACAUGGUUAUUUUUUGCUGUUUGAUCGGAUUAGAAAAGGAAUAAACCACCCCUUCCAAUCCGAUCGAAAUUUCAUUCAGAUCGAUUAAGGUGUUUACAUGAACGUUUUUCAAUCCGAUUGAGCCGUCAAUCCGAUUACAAAUGGAUUAUUUGGGUGCAUGUAAACGUAGCCAAUG